rnacentral:snRNA from 1 species
AGAGGAGUGUGACUGUGACAUCUGUCGUCCCGGGGACCAGGCUUGAUUAGGCUGAUCUAGCUAGCUAGUCAUGUGUUCCCUUCCUCUCAACUCGCUCCACAUGCAUCCCUCCCAGAGCUGCAUGCUCUGAGACAGGAGGACCGUUGUUUGGUCACAGGUAUGGGAGUAGCUACCCUCCCCCUGCUAGAAUCUCUAAAGCAGCUGUUGAGAUGGACAGGAAGCAGUGCUGCUUCCUUGUUCUCCUCACUCAAACACUGGACUAUGUUGAAGGGUAGAAGGCUUUCUG